rnacentral:rRNA from 1 species
UACGUAGGGUGCGAGCGUUGUCCGGAAUUAUUGGGCGUAAAGAGCUCGUAGGCGGCUUGUCGCGUCGGAUGUGAAAGCCCGGGGCUUAACUCCGGGUCUGCAUUCGAUACGGGCGAGGCUAGAGUUCGGUAGGGGAGAUCGGAAUUCCUGGUGUAGCGGUGAAAUGACGCAGAUAUCAGGAGGAACACCGGUGGCGAAGGCGGAUCUCUGGGCCGAUACUGACGCUGAGGAGCGAAAGCGUGGGGAGCGAACAGG